CGCGUUGCCGGGGUAACGGGCAGAAGCAGAGCUCGGUAGAGGCGAGCGGUACGGGGCGGCGGCGCCAAGAGGGCGGAAAGAUCUCGGCCGCGGGGGGGGUCGCCAUGGAUCGGCUGACUGUGUCCCCCGGGGCCGCCGCCACCGUGGACGAGUAUCUGGAGUACCAAAAAAAUGCUGGUGAGGAUGAUGGAGGUUCACUUUUCACCCCCGAAGAAUCUGAUGUGCUCAGAAAUAAAAUUUUACCACUGCGAUUACGAAACAGAUUAUAUGUGAGCUGGCGAUCACCAACGGGCAUGGACUGUAAACUUGUUGGCCCACAAACUCCAUGUUUUUGUACACACAGGUAUAAACAACAUAAAACUGAAUUCAUAGUCCUCCCGGCAGAGCGUCCAAUUUCUCUGCCUUGUAAAGUGAGCCAGUGCCCGUGCAACUCCUUUCACUAUGUGCCUUUAAGUGGAACCCGGCCCAUUCGAUGCAAGUGUAAGCACUAUGCCGACCAACACAGUGCAGACUCGAGCCGGAGUUGCCUGGCAUGUUCCAAGUGCCCAGAAUUUCGUAGUUACUAUACUUGUAGUUGUGGUCAUCCCGCUCACGCACAUCAGACCGUGGUGGAAACUAGAGAAGAGAGGCUGGCCCUGGGGAAGCCCGUGGGACGCAACGUUCCUUACGCCGCAAUGGGAGAAUUCGCGGGAUUCAGUGCACUCUCUGAAGACUUCACGGAUCUAGAUGAAAAUGAAUUAGAAUUUUUAAAAUCUACAAUGAAUCCUGCAGAUCAUUCAUCAAAAACAGGUCAAGAUUCAGCUAGCUCUGUUCAAGAUUUAAGUAAUCAAACCUCUUCCUCAAGGAGACCAGGUGAAGAUGAUAUGGCUUACUUUGAGAGGCACUACCAGGAAAGGCUGAACAAAGGAUUGGGGUUCGUGCCAUACACAGAACGAUAUUAAGGACGGAAGGUGGAGAUUGAACGCCAUGAUGAAUAAAUGAACCUGCAGUAGGGUAAUUUCUCAAUCAGUGAAACAAGUGAACCAUUCGCUGCUGCAGGUACUCAGCCUCCGUAACCCAUUUUACCUCCGACAUCCGCUUCCAGACCAUACCACCAGAUCCUUGGGAUUCCAAGGGUUACUUUCUUGUCCAUUUCUAGUGGUGCCCAGUAGAAAUCUGUACUCACCAACCAACCAUCCCUCUGUAUCUAGCUUAUCAACAAUAAAGGGCUCUAGAGAAACUGUA